ensembl:lncRNA
GGGGAUGGCAGAGGCGGGUGUAUCGCAUUUCAAAAUAGAAAGUAAGUAGCCGACCCAUGAGUCACUGUAUCCAGUGGAGAAUAGUUUGAUCCCGUGUCAUCGCAGUAGAUCAAGAAGCCGGAGCAUCAAGGGCAUCUUUGUGCCGCCCGCACAAGCCCCCGGCAAACAAAAGGCACCCUUGUGCUUCAGCCCGGCGGCGGCGGCCUACAUGUACCAUGACGUCUCAGGGCGCUUGAGGCUGGAGGGCUUGUUGUUGUCUUUUGUUCUGGGACGGAGCGCUUGUUUUUUUUCCAGGCUGAGACGCCGUUGGUCAGGUAGGUUAGACGCCGACACCUCGGGCACGGGGUGACGUCAGGAGGCUGCUCAGAUGAUGUCGGGCAUGUUGGUGCUCCCGAACCAGCAGGGUGGAGAACAUCCAGGGCUCGAUGGGGACUAUGUGUAGCUCCUUCAUUUGAAUGCGGAGCUGUUUUUUCCAGGGGGGACAUUUUGUUCAGGUUCAGAUCCACGGGGGCCUAGGUGACGAUAUAGCCUUGUUCCCUUAUUUUUAUUCUUUGUGAGUUAACCUAGCUUUAGAGUCACUGACGAUUUUCCGAUGAAUCCCAUUUAAACCUUUUUUCCCCUGGUUAAGACUUUGUAAAAGACUAUGUCACAAAAAACCGGGUCUGGAAAUAAUCAAAUCAGAAAUGACGUCUUUGUUUCCGUUAUGUAACACAUUUCCAAUAUUUUUUUCGAACACUGUAAGGGAAGGCCUCAAAUCAUGCUAGGUAGGGGGGGGAUAGGAAACUGGGGUUAUUUCAAAUCCUCUCACAAUAAGUGAUUCACAUCCACCCCAUGGACUCGAUGGCAUCACCAAAGGAACAGGAAAUGUAUUCAUUACAAGAGAUUACUGGUAAGAUGACUUAUAAGAGAUGUUAGGUUGUUGAGGAGGUGUUAUAAGAGACGCAAGAGGAGAUGUUCUAGUCGAAAAGGGUCUUAUGGUAGACAGGAGUGAUGUUCUAGUAUAGGAGAGUCUGAAGGUAGACAUGAGAGAUGUUCUAGCAUAGGAGAGUCUGAAGGUAGACAUGAGAGAUGUUCUAGCAUAGGAGAGUCUGAAGGUAGACAUGAGAGAUGUUCUAGCAUAGGAGAGUCUGAAGGUAGACAUGAGAGAUGUUCUAGUAUAGGAGAGUCUUAUCGGAGUCAUGAGAGGGGGUUCCUCAAGGCCCCGGCUGUCCAGUGUCUCUACAUUCUUGCCGGUGGGCUGUAUUGACAGAGCAGUGGGUUGGGGGGGCUGAUCAUGUGACCUCCGCCUGGAUUCCAGGCAGGUUUGACGGAUCUGAGUCAUGUUUCCCAUUGUGUGUGUGUGUGUGUGUGUGUGUGUGUGUGUGUGUGUGUGUGUGUGUGUGUGUGAUUCAGUAUAUCCAUACAGUAAAGCAAGUGCCAUGCCGUGUGUGGGUGUCUGCAUGGGUUUGUGAGUGUGUGUGCGAUGGUACAGCAACAGGUGUUUCCCCUAAAUGUCCCUCAGUAUUCCAGGGAAAGGGGGUAUUUUUCAAAUGGUCCCGGAAUGUCGCUAUCCCCGGGAGAGAAUUCCCCACACAGGGCCUCAGAACAUCUGUGUGUCAGACGCUGGCACUACUCACUGCAAAACCUGGCAGCAUACUUCUGGCGGAGAAAAAAGUGGAACGUUCACAAAUGUAAUAAUUACACAUUUUAAACAAUCAAUGUUCCGACUAUAAUUCAUGAGAGACAUUCAUUCAGAAACUUGAAACACAUGAAAGUCAAGGCAGCGUCCCCCCGUCUCAUGCAGCUGCUGACGGAACGCUCGUUGUACGAUGCGACGCUCUGUCGAGCAUCGGACGGACCAUUGGACAGCCACGUUUGGCUAGCCUGGCUAUUCCAAGAGCGAGCUCAAUCGUAGAUUGCACGUUGGUCUGGGGACGCUGCUGUCAUUUUCUUCAGCUCAAGAGGCUCGAUCAACGGGCCUAGUUCAUAUGACUCUACGCAAUUGGCUGCUUGCCGACCCGCUUCCCUGUCGUCAUUGUGUUAAACCAGCCAAUAGCGCACAGGCGGGGGAGAAGCCAGCAUGGUGAUUGGCUCCCGCAAAAACGGAUCGGAAAAAGAAAGAAAUGUA